rnacentral:tRNA from 1 species
UCCCCUGUGGCGUAAUGGUAACGCGGCUCCCUGUUAAGGAGAUGAUUGGAGGUUCGAAUCCUCCCGGGGGAGCCA